AGUGAACGCUGGCGGUAGGCCUAACACAUGCAAGUCGAACGGCAGCACAGUAAGAGCUUGCUCUUACGGGUGGCGAGUGGCGGACGAGUGAGGAAUACAUCGGAAUCUACUUUUUCGUGGGGGAUAACGUAGGGAAACUUACGCUAAUACCGCAUACGACCUACGGGUUAAAGCAGGGGAUCUUCGGACCUUGCGCGAUUGAAUGAGCCGAUGUCGGAUUAGCUAGUUGGCGGGGUAAAGGCCCACCAAGGCGACGAUCCGUAGCUGGUCUGAGAGGAUGAUCAGCCACACUGGAACUGAGACACGGUCCAGACUCCUACGGGAGGCAGCAGUGGGGAAUAUUGGACAAUGGGCGCAAGCCUGAUCCAGCCAUACCGCGUGGGUGAAGAAGGCCUUCGGGUUGUAAAGCCCUUUUGUUGGGAAAGAAAAGAAGCAGGUUAAUACCCCGCUGUUCUGACGGUACCCAAAGAAUAAGCACCGGCUAACUUCGUG
rnacentral:rRNA from 1 species